rnacentral:rRNA from 2 species
CAAUGGACGCAAGUCUGAUGGAGCAACGCCGCGUGAGUGAAGAAGGCUUUCGGGUCGUAAAACUCUGUUGUUGGAGAAGAAUGGUCGGCAGAGUAACUGUUGCCGGCGUGACGGUAUCCAACCAGAAAGCCACGGCUAACUACGUGCCAGCAGCCGCGGUAAUACGUAGGUGGCAAGCGUUAUCCGGAUUUAUUGGGCGUAAAGCGAGCGCAGGCGGUUUUUUAAGUCUGAUGUGAAAGCCCUCGGCUUAACCGAGGAAGCGCAUCGGAAACUGGGAAACUUGAGUGCAGAAGAGGACAGUGGAACUCCAUGUGUAGCGGUGAAAUGCGUAGAUAUAUGGAAGAACACCAGUGGCGAAGGCGGCUGUCUGGUCUGUAACUGACGCUGAGGCUCGAAAGCAUGGGUAGCGAACAGGAUUAGAUACCCUGGUAGUCCAUGCCGUAAACGAUGAAUGCUAGGUGUUGGAGGGUUUCCGCCCUUCAGUGCCGCAGCUAACGCAUUAAGCAUUCCGCCUGGGGAGUACGACCGCAAGGUUGAAACUCAAAGGAAUUGACGGGGGCCCGCACAAGCGGUGGAGCAUGUGGUUUAAUUCGAAGCA